rnacentral:rRNA from 1 species
GACAGAGGUCCCGAGCGUUAGGCGGAAUCACUGGGCUUAAAGCGUGUGUAGGCGGAGUGCUAAGUACCUUGUGAAAUCCCACGGCUCAACCGUGGAACUGCUUGGUAUACUGGUUCUCUUGAGCCACCUAGGGGCAACCGGAACAAACGGUGGAGCGGUGAAAUGCGUAGAUAUCGUUUGGAACGCCAAUGGUGAAAACAGGUUGCUGGGGGUGUGCUGACGCUGGAGACACGAAAGCCAGGGGAGCAAACGGG